rnacentral:rRNA from 1 species
UCCCCUACGGGGCGCAGCAGUGGGGGAUAUUGCACAAUGGGGGAAACCCUGAUGCAGCGACGCCGCGUGUGGGAAGACGGUCCUCUGGAUUGUAAACCACUGUCCCCAGGGACGAAAAUGACGGUACCUGGGGAGGAAGCUCCGGCUAACUACGUGCCAGCAGCCGCGGUAAUACGUAGGUGGCAAGCGUUGUCCGGAUUUACUGGGUGUAAAGGGCGUGUAGCCGGGUUGACAAGUCAGAUGUGAAAUCCUGCGGCUUAACCGCAGAACUGCAUUUGAAACUGUUGAUCUUGAGUACUGGAGAG